rnacentral:rRNA from 1 species
GACGAACGCUGGCGGCGUGCUUAACACAUGCAAGUCGAACGGUGAAGCGCCUUCCUUUUUGGUGGGUGUGGAUGAGUGGCGAACGGGUGAGUAACACGUGAGUAACCUGCCCCCUUCUUCUGGAUAACCGCAUGAAAGUGUGGCUAAUACGGGAUAUUCUGGGUCUGUCGCAUGAUGGGUCUGGGAAAGAUAUUGUUUCGGUGGGGGAUGGGCUCGCGGCCUAUCAGCUUGUUGGUGGGGUGAUGGCCUACCGAGGCGGUGACGGGUAGCCGGCCUGAGAGGGUGGGCGGUCACACUGGGAAUGAGACACGGCCCAGACUCCGACGGGAGGCAGCAGGGGGGAAUAUUGCACAAUGGGCGCAAGGCUGAUGCAGCGACGCCGCGUGGGGGAUGGAGGCCUUCGGGUUGUGAACCUCUUUCGCCAGUGAAGCAGGCCUGCCUCGUUUGUGGGUGGGUUGACGGUAGCUGGAUAAGAAGCGCCGGCUAACUACGUG